GUUAGCUGCCAUGUUGGCAGCAGCUCUGUGGAAAGGCCCAUGUGGCAAGGAAUUGAGAAAUCUUGCCAACAGCCCAUGAGAAACUGAGGCCUCAAGUCCACAGCCAGAUGUUUCUGGAUGAGAUUAGCAUUCAAAUUCGUGGACUCAUUAAAGUAGAUGGCUCUCUCCAAUAUGGGUGGGCAUCAUCCAAUCUGUUGAAGGCGUGAAGAGAACAAGAGAAGGAGGAAGGAAGAAUUCACCUUUUUUCUUGCUGCCCACCUGCUUGGGCUGGGACAUUGCAUCUCACCUUCUCCAGCCUUUGGAUGAGGAUUUACACCCUGGUUCUCAGGCCUUCAGGCUCUAACUGGAGCUACACUAUCAACUUUCCUGGGCCUCCAGAUUGCAGAUGGUGGAUCACGGUACUUUUUAGCCUCCAUCAUAAUAUGAGAAAAAAGAGGCACAGUGAAGCUAAAUAUAUUGGCUAAAGAUCACAAAGCUAUUACUAUUGGUGAGGAAUUUUGGAGUAAUUUGAUUGGGUGUUCUGGCUCAAGGGUCUCUUAUGAGUUUGCAGUCAGAUGUCAGCUGUGGCUACAUCAUCUGGACACAUGACUGAGGGUGGAACAUUCAAUUUCAAGGUAUCUCACUCAUAUGGCUGGUAAGUUGGUUCUGGCUGUUGGCUAAGAGUCUCAAUUUCUGGCCACAUGGGCCACUCCAUGAGGCUGCUUGAGUGUCCUCUCAACAUGGUGUCUGGAUCUUUGGAUUACAAAAGACUAAUGUGGAAUCUGCAAUGCCAUUUAUAAUUUAUCCUUGAAAGUUCACACACUUCUGCUGUACAAACUUCUGUUCUUACCCGUGACUCUUUUGUCAAGCUGUGUCUUGAUAAAUUGUAACACUUUUGAGUCUUUGAAGAAAGUGAUCUGUUUUUAGUGUGGGUACUUUAUAUUGAUCUCAAACACUUGUAGCAUAAUACUGGGAAGAUAAUGAGUCACUGAGUUUUAAAUCAUUACUUGAGUAAUGUUAAUGAACAUCUUUUGGGGUAUGUAUUUGAAUGCCAACUAGUUAUUGACUAUCCAAAAAGUGGUUUUCCUUGGU
rnacentral:lncRNA from 10 species